rnacentral:rRNA from 1 species
GAUGAACGCUGGCGGCGUGCCUAAUACAUGCAAGUCGAGCGAACGGACGAGAAGCUUGCUUCUCUGAUGUUAGCGGCGGACGGGUGAGUAACACGUGGAUAACCUACCUAUAAGACUGGGAUAACUUCGGGAAACCGGAGCUAAUACCGGAUAAUAUUUUGAACCGCAUGGUUCAAAAGUGAAAGACGGUCCUGCUGUCACUUAUAGAUGGAUCCGCGCUGCAUUAGCUAGUUGGUAAGGUAACGGCUUACCAAGGCAACGAUGCAUAGCCGACCUGAGAGGGUGAUCGGCCACACUGGAACUGAGACACGGUCCAGACUCCUACGGGAGGCAGCAGUAGGGAAUCUUCCGCAAUGGGCGAAAGCCUGACGGAGCAACGCCGCGUGAGUGAUGAAGGUCUUCGGAUCGUAAAACUCUGUUAUUAGGGAAGAACAGAUGUGUAAGUAACUGUGCACAUCUUGACGGUACCUAAUCAGAAAGCCACGGCUAACUACGUG